UGUGGGUUGUCCCCCUGGAGGGUGGCAGGAGGGGUGGCUUUGCCCUGGGGGUGCCUCUCGUGCCUGGGCGGUGCCUGGGAAGCACAUGGGCUUUACAAGGCCAGGUCUGCCACAGCCUGAGCUGCCCCUGUAGCAGGGCUGACACAGUGAGGACAGAGUGAAGAGAUGACAGACACAGAGAAGGAGCAGUGGCUGCACAGCAGCUGCAGCCAGGAGGUUGCAAAAUGGGCAUCAGAUGCCACAAGCACAACGAAGGUUUGGGACCAGCUGCUUUGGGCACCCCCUAAAGCUGUGCCAUGCUUGUCUCCUCAGUGCUCACCCCACAACGGCUCUUCUGCACAGCUAGAAGCUGUUAAAUCUCCAAAGUGCCAGACUCCAGAGGGGAUGGAGCAGUUGGAGCUGUUUGAUCUAGGCAGAAGAAAAGCUGAUUACCUGUGCUGGAGCCUGAUGGGGGUCAGAUCACCUGGAACAAGGAAACCUGCCAUGGGAUUUUUGGAAUUACAAGAUGUCAGGAACUGUGGUUUUCCCUGUCUUAUCAGGAAAUCUGAACUUUC